rnacentral:misc_RNA from 1 species
GAUGAAGAAGGUAGCGAAAUGCGAUAAGUGAUGUGAAUUGCAGAAUUCAGUGAAUCAUCGAAUCUUUGAACGCACAUUGCGCCCCCUGGUAUUCCGGGGGGCAUGCCUGUUCGAGCGUCAUUUCACCACUCAAGCCUCGCUUGGUAUUGGGCAACGCGGUCCGCCGCGUGCCUCAAAUCGACCGGCUGGGUCUUCUGUCCCCUAAGCGUUGUGGAAACUUUCGCUAAAGGGUGUUCGGGAGGCUACGCCGUAAAACAACCCCAUUUCUAAGGUUGACCUCGGAUCAGGUAGGGAUACCCGCUGAACUUAAGCAUAUCAAUAAGCGGAGGA